GUACGUACGCUGGCGGCGUGCCUAAUACAUGCAAGUCGAACGAACUCUGGUAUUGAUUGGUGCUUGCAUCAUGAUUUACAUUUGAGUGAGUGGCGAACUGGUGAGUAACACGUGGGAAACCUGCCCAGAAGCGGGGGAUAACACCUGGAAACAGAUGCUAAUACCGCAUAACAACUUGGACCGCAUGGUCCGAGCUUGAAAGAUGGCUUCGGCUAUCACUUUUGGAUGGUCCCGCGGCGUAUUAGCUAGAUGGUGGGGUAACGGCUCACCAUGGCAAUGAUACGUAGCCGACCUGAGAGGGUAAUCGGCCACAUUGGGACUGAGACACGGCCCAAACUCCUACGGGAGGCAGCAGUAGGGAAUUCUUCCACAAUGGACGAAAGUCUGAUGGAGCAACGCCGCGUGAGUGAAGAAGGGUUUCGGCUCGUAAAACUCUGUUGUUAAAGAAGAACAUAUCUGAGAGUAACUGUUCAGGUAUUGACGGUAUUUAACCAGAAAGCCACGGCUAACUACGUGCCAGCAGCCGCGGUAAUACGUAGGUGGCAAGCGUUGUCCCGGAUUUAUUGGGCGUAAAGCGAGCGCAGGCGGUUUUUUAAGUCUGAUGUGAAAGCCUUUCGGCUCAACCGAAGAAGUGCAUCGGAAACUGGGAAACUUGAGUGCAGAAGAGGACAGUGGAACUCCAUGUGUAGCGGUGAAAUGCGUAGAUAUAUGGAAGAACACCAGUGGCGAAGGCGGCUGUCUGGUCUGUAACUGACGCUGAGGCUCGAAAGUAUGGGUAGCAAACAGGAUUAGAUACCCUGGUAGUCCAUACCGUAAACGAUGAAUGCUAAGUGUUGGAGGGUUUCCGCCCUUCAGUGCUGCAGCUAACGCAUUAAGCAUUCCGCCUGGGGAGUACGGCCGCAAGGCUGAAACUCAAAGGAAUUGACGGGGGCCCGCACAAGCGGUGGAGCAUGUGGUUUAAUUUCGAAGCUACGGCGAAGAACCUUACCAGGUCUUGACAUACUAUGCAAAUCUAAGAGAUUAGACGUUUCCCUUCGGGGACAUGGAUACAGGUGGUGCAUGGUUGUCGUCAGCUCGUGUCGUGAGAUGUUGGGUUAAGUCCCGCAACGAGCGCAACCCUUAUUAUCAGUUGCCAGCAUUAAAGUUGGGCACUCUGGUGAGACUGCCGGUGACAAACCGGAGGAAGGUGGGGAUGACGUCAAAUCAUCAUGCCCCUUAUGACCUGGGCUACACACGUGCUACAAUGGAUGGUACAACGAGUUGCGAACUCGCGAGAGUAAGCUAAUCUCUUAAAGCCAUUCUCAGUUCGGAUUGUAGGCUGCAACUCGCCUACAUGAAGUCGGAAUCGCUAGUAAUCGCGGAUCAGCAUGCCGCGGUGAAUACGUUCCCGGGCCUUGUACACACCGCCCGUCACACCAUGAGAGUUUGUAACACCCAAAGUCGGUGGGGUAACCUUUUAGGAACCAGCCGCCUAAGGUGGGACAGAUGAUUAGGGGAAGUCGAC
rnacentral:rRNA from 2 species